rnacentral:rRNA from 1 species
UACGUAGGGGGCUAGCGUUGUCCGGAAUCAUUGGGCGUACAGCGCGUGUAGGCGGCCCGGUAAGUCCGCUGUGAAAGUCGGGGGCUCAACCCUCGGAUGCCGGUGGAUACUGUCGGGCUUGAGUACGGAAGAGGCGAGUGGAAUUCCUGGUGUAGCGGUGAAAUGCGCAGAUAUCAGGAGGAACACCAAUUGCGAAGGCAGCUCGCUGGGACGUUACUGACGCUGAGACGCGAAAGCGUGGGGAGCAAACAGG